rnacentral:rRNA from 1 species
UGCGGCGUAACUCCGGUUGAUCCUGCCGGACCCGACUGCUAUCGGGGUGGGACUAAGCCAUGCAAGUCUAGGGGCCGAGGCCAUGGUCGGUCCCGGCGCACGGCUGAGUAACACGUGGCCAACCUACCCUCGGGAGGGGGAUAACCCCGGGAAACUGGGGCUAAUCCCCCAUAGGCGCAGACUCCUGGAAUUGGGUCUGCGCCGAAAGGGUUGCAACGCCAUGCCCGUUGCAACCGCCCGAGGAUGGGGCUGCGCCCUAUCUGGUAGUUGGCGGGGUAA